rnacentral:rRNA from 1 species
GUCGUAAGUACAUGCAGUCGAGCGGACAGAUGGGAGCUUGCUCCCUGAUGUUAGCGGCGGACGGGUGAGUAACACGUGGGUAACCUGCCUGUAAGACUGGGAUAACUCCGGGAAACCGGGGCUAAUACCGGAUGGUUGUUUGAACCGCAUGGUUCAAACAUAAAAGGUGGCUUCGGCUACCACUUACAGAUGGACCCGCGGCGCAUUAGCUAGUUGGUGAGGUAACGGCUCACCAAGGCAACGAUGCGUAGCCGACCUGAGAGGGUGAUCGGCCACACUGGGACUGAGACACGGCCCAGACUCCUACGGGAGGCAGCAGUAGGGAAUCUUCCGCAAUGGACGAAAGUCUGACGGAGCAACGCCGCGUGAGUGAUGAAGGUUUUCGGAUCGUAAAGCUCUGUUGUUAGGGAAGAACAAGUACCGUUCGAAUAGGGCGGUACCUUGACGGUACCUAACCAGAAAGCCACGGCUAACUACGUGCCAGCAGCCGCGGUAAUACGUAGGUGGCAAGCGUUGUCCGGAAUUAUUGGGCGUAAAGGGCUCGCAGGCGGUUUCUUAAGUCUGAUGUGAAAGCCCCCGGCUCAACCGGGGAGGGUCAUUGGAAACUGGGGAACUUGAGUGCAGAAGAGGAGAGUGGAAUUCCACGUGUAGCGGUGAAAUGCGUAGAGAUGUGGAGGAACACCAGUGGCGAAGGCGACUCUCUGGUCUGUAACUGACGCUGAGGAGCGAAAGCGUGGGGAGCGAACAGGAUUAGAUACCCCUGGGUAGUCCACGCCGUAAACGAUGAGUGCUAAGUUGUUAGGGGGUUUCCGCCCCCUUAGUGCUUGCAGCCUAACGGCAUUUAAGCACUCCCGCCCUGGGGGGAGUACCGGUUCGCCAAGGACCUGGAAAACCUUCCAAAAAGGGGAAAUUUUGGAACCCGCG